rnacentral:rRNA from 1 species
UACGGAAGGUCCGGGCGUUAUCCGGAUUUAUUGGGUUUAAAGGGAGCGCAGGCGGGCUAUUAAGCGUGACGUGAAAUGUGGCGGCUCAACCGCCGAACUGCGUCGCGAACUGGUGGUCUUGAGUAGGUACGACGUGGACGGAAUUCGUGGUGUAGCGGUGAAAUGCUUAGAUAUCACGAAGAACCCCGAUUGCGAAGGCAGUCCCCGAGUCCCUUACUGACGCUAAUGCUCGAAAGUGCGGGUAUCGAAC